rnacentral:lncRNA from 1 species
AUGUCCGCGUCUAAUGAGAAGAGAACAGGCCACAACUCCAGGAUCACCAGCAAUGUCAGACAGACAGCUCCGCGUCACCGGCAUCGAGGCAGAGCGCGGCGUGCAGGUGACAGCCCAGGGCAGCGUGGCCACCGUGCCUCAGGGGCAAUGUCUGGAAAGAGGAGCACUGCAACCCUCACUCACUCACUCAGACCGUGUCUGCCACUGUCACUCACUCAGACCCGUGUCUGUCACUGUCACUCACUCACUCAGACCCGUGUCUGUCACUGUCACUCACUCACUGAGACCCGUGUCUGUUACUGUCACUCACUCAGACCCAUGUCUGUCACUGUCACUCAUUCAGACCGCAUCUCAGUGGCGCUGUCUCACCAGACUCACGCACACACCCUCCUACAACACUGGGAAAAGCUUCCCCAAGUCUCAGGGGACGUUCUGAGGCCACCACCCUCAGCAGAGAUGGACGUGAGGAAGGCCCAGUGGCCAACAGCCCCAGCUCUCAAGAUCCUUGAGCCAACAGCAGCUCCAGGCUGCCCCUGCGGCAAAGCCAGCACGGAGGUAGUCAGCCAUCCCUUCACAGUGCAAGCGGGGGCUGGGGAAGACAGGGUAUCAAAUGUACUUGUUGCCUUGGACAGACAACAAAAAAGUUCAGCGUAUUAA